UACGAAGGGUGCAAACGUUGCUCGGAAUCAUUGGGCGUAAAGCGCACGUAGGCGGCUUUGCAAGUCGGAUGUGAAAUCCCUCGGCUUAACCAAGGAAGUGCAUCCGAAACUGCAGAGCUUGAGUACUUAAGAGGAUCGCGGAAUUCCCGGUGUAGAGGUGAAAUUCGUAGAUAUCGGGAGGAACACCAGUGGCGAAGGCGGCGAUCUGGGAAGAUACGUGACGCUGAGGUGCGAAAGCGUGGGGAGCAAACAGG
rnacentral:rRNA from 1 species